UGCCAGCCGCCGCGGUAAUACGGAGACCUCGAGCGUUACUCGGAAUUACUGGGCGUAAAGCGUGCGUAGGCGGAUCGACAAGUUGGGGGUGAAAUCCCGGGGCUUAACCCCGGAACUGCCUUUAAAACUGGUAAGCUAGAGGAUGUGAGAGGUGAGUGGAAUUCCGAGUGUAGAGGUGAAAUUCGUAGAUAUUCGGAAGAACACCAGUGGCGAAGGCGACUCACUGGCACAUUUCUGACGCUGAGGCGCGAAAGCGUGGGGAGCAAACAGGAUUAGAUA
rnacentral:rRNA from 1 species